rnacentral:lncRNA from 1 species
AUGAGUGUUCCUGCAUGUGGCCUGCACCUGCACGCACACCGGCACACACGGCACCUGCCAAUACCACCUUGCCCCUGUGUGCGCACACGACCGUACCCAGACGACACGCACGGGCACCUACACACACACUUGCCCCUGUGUGCACACGACUGCACCUGCACGCACACGGCACACACGGGCACCUACACACACACUUGCCCCUGUGUGCACAUCACGACUGCACCUGCACGCACACUGGCACACACGGGCACCUACACACACACUUGCCCUUGUGUGCACAGACCUGCACCUGCAAACAUACCUGCACACACGGGCACCUAUACACACACUUGCCCCUGUGUGCACAGACCUGCACCUGCAAACACACCUGCACAGACGGGCAGCUAUACACACACUUGCCCUGUGUGCACAGACCUGCACCUGCAAACACACCUGCACACACGGGCACCUAUACACACACUUGCCCUUAUGUGCACAUACCUACACCUGCACCCACACCUCCAAACACACCUGCACACACAUGUGCACCUCUAUACACACUUGGCCUGUGAACACACACUUGCAUCUGCACACACACCUGCACAGGCACCUACACACACCUACACCUAUACACACAUUUGCCUCGGUGAACACACAACUGCACUUGCACACACACCUGCACACAGACCUGUACCUGUACAUACACGUCCCUGUGCACACACACCCAGACCUGUAUACAUACUUGCCCCUGUGCACUCACACCUGCACACACACCUGUACCUGUGCACACACCUGCACACAUACCUACACACACACCUGCAUCUAUACACACUUUCCCCUGUGUACCUGCACCUGCACUCACACCUGCACGCACACCUGUUCCUCUAUCCCCAGCUGUCUACGUCACCCCACAUGUUCACUCUCACCGAAGCCGGAGCAGCCCACAGGGUUUGCUCAUUAAGUGCUUCUUGCUUGAGCAAACCGGGAAGUCAUCUUGAGCGGAAGCACCUGGUCUCUGGUAACAGAUGCCGAGAAUCACCUGAUUUGACCUUUCAACAGUGA